GGGAAAGUGGCUCAGUGGUAGAGUGCUUGCCUAGCAUGCAUGAAGCCCUGGGUUCAAUUCCUCCGUACCA
rfam:Dipodomys ordii contig_7088, whole genome shotgun sequence.